UUUUUUUUCGCGCCACGCAAGCAAACUCGUCCGACGUGUGCAUCAUCAAAUGAGAGAAGAUAAUACUGCCGUCGUCUCGUUCGUCGUCGGCGUCGGCUCGUGCUCCAAAGUUACAGCGACGCUCAUCCUCCCGUUGUUCGCGUCGUUGUGAGAUGCCGCCGGAUCCGGUGCUCCAGGCAUCAUCCCUACCUCCUCCGCUCAAGAUGAAUCCAUCCACGCCUCCUCCCCGGGUCGUCCCGUCGACGGAGAGCAACUUCCCGCACCAUGUAUCCCCACCAGAUCUCCAAGACCGGCAGUAGGAAGACGAUGCGGAAGCUGGGGGCGCGGAAAGAGAGCGAAAGGGGGCGGCGGCGGUAAGAUAGCAGAAGGGCACAGCAGCAAGCUCCUGCACGCGUCGCUCGUCCGUGUCGACGCCUCCCGGACGCGCCUGUCAGGAAUGGCAAUGGGGCAUUCAUCUCGUCUGUCUUCCAGGCGGCAGUUGUAUCGAGUCUGUAAGCUUGGCAACUUGAUUCGGUGCAAAUUCGCGCCUGCCCUGCUGCCCGCGUGAUGAACUCACCGGUGUCCGCCCGAGCAGCUGCUGGACCUAUGCACCCGACCAAGUCACCGCUCCAAUGCAGCCUGGCUACCUUCUCAAUCCUCUGUCACUCCGCUGGCUCUGUUUACGGGGAAAAAACCAGAUCCGGCCGGAGUUGAUUCCUACAGCCUGGAAGUGGUCGAUCAGCUACAGCAGCUCUGUGCAGCCUGUGCCUUUGAUCACGCAUACGAUGGAAUUUGUCCUACUAAAUGAGUAAGUUCAGAUCAACCUUGUUUUGGAUGGCUGGCUGGCUGCAUAGUCAAUUUCUACUCUCUUUUUUUGGUUCUAAAUAAGGAUGGCUGCAUA